rnacentral:rRNA from 1 species
UACGAAGGGGGCUAGCGUUGCUCGGAAUCACUGGGCGUAAAGGGUGCGUAGGCGGGUCUUUAAGUCAGGGGUGAAAUCCUGGAGCUCAACUCCAGAACUGCCUUUGAUACUGGCGAUCUCGAGUCCGGGAGAGGUGAGUGGAACUGCGAGUGUAGAGGUGAAAUUCGUAGAUAUUCGCAAGAACACCAGUGGCGAAGGCGGACUCACUGGCCCGGUACUGACGCUGAGGUGCGAAAGCGUGGG